rnacentral:rRNA from 1 species
GACGAACGCUGGCGGCGUGCUUAACACAUGCAAGUCGAACGGAAAGGCCCUGCUUUGCUGGGGUACUCGAGUGGCGAACGGGUGAGUAACACGUGGGUGACCUGCCCUUCACUUUGGGAUAAGUUCGGGAAACUGGGUCUAAUACCGGAUAGGACCUCCUGCUGCAUGGUGGGGGGUGAAAAUUUUCGGCGGGGUGGGAUGUGCUCGCGGCCUAUCUGCUUGUUGGGGGGGUAGUGUGCUACCAAGGCGUUGGCGGGUAGCCGGCCUGGGAGGGUGGACGGCCACAUUGGGGAUGAGAUACGGCCCAGACUCCUACGGGAGGCAGCAGUGGGGAAUAUUGCACAAUGGGCGCAAGCCUGAUGCAGCGAAGCCGCGUGGGGGAGGACGGCCUUCGGGUUGUAAACUCCUUUCGCUAGGGACGAAGCGUUAUGUGACGGUACCUGGAGAAGAAGCACCGGCUAACUACGUG